AGGAAUAUUGGUCAAUGGACGAGAGUCUGAACCAGCCAAGUAGCGUGAAGGAUGACUGCCCUAUGGGUUGUAAACUUCUUUUAUACGGGAAUAAAGUGAGGCACGUGUGCCUUUUUGUAUGUACCGUAUGAAUAAGGAUCGGCUAACUCCGUGCCAGCAGCCGCGGUAAUACGGAGGAUCCGAGCGUUAUCCGGAUUUAUUGGGUUUAAAGGGAGCGUAGGCGGACGCUUAAGUCAGUUGUGAAAGUUUGCGGCUCAACCGUAAAAUUGCAGUUGAUACUGGGUGUCUUGAGUACAGUAGAGGCAGGCGGAAUUCGUGGUGUAGCGGUGAAAUGCUUAGAUAUCACGAAGAACUCCGAUUGCGAAGGCAGCCUGCUGGACUGUAACUGACGCUGAUGCUCGAAAGUGUGGGUAUCAAACAGGAUUAGAUACCCUGGUAGUCCACACAGUAAACGAUGAAUACUCGCUGUUUGCGAUAUACAGUAAGCGGCCAAGCGAAAGCGUUAAGUAUUCCACCUGGGGAGUACGCCGGCAACGGUGAAACUCAAAGGAAUUGACGGGGGCCCGCACAAGCGGAGGAACAUGUGGUUUAAUUCGAUGAUACGCGAGGAACCUUACCCGGGCUUGAAUUGCAACUGAAUGAUGUGGAGACAUGUCAGCCGCAAGGCAGUUGUGAAGGUGCUGCAUGGUUGUCGUCAGCUCGUGCCGUGAGGUGUCGGCUUAAGUGCCAUAACGAGCGCAACCCUUAUCGAUAGUUACCAUCAGGUGAUGCUGGGGACUCUGUCGAGACUGCCGUCGUAAGAUGUGAGGAAGGUGGGGAUGACGUCAAAUCAGCACGGCCCUUACGUCCGGGGCUACACACGUGUUACAAUGGGGGGUACAGAAGGCAGCUACACGGCGACGUGAUGCUAAUCCCGAAAGCCUCUCUCAGUUCGGAUUGGAGUCUGCAACCCGACUCCAUGAAGCUGGAUUCGCUAGUAAUCGCGCAUCAGCCACGGCGCGGUGAAUACGUUCCCG
rnacentral:rRNA from 1 species